AGCCAUUCCACGAUGUUGCAAGUCAUACGCAAUCUUGAUCAAUUCGUUGGACGCACUUACAUUGUGCUCUUGCUUCAGCAUUUGAUUAGGCCCCUGGUGUUUUUUUUUAGCUGCCCAAAAAAACUUAAAUGGUCAAAAACCCUAAUCUUAAAUUUCUACUGAAAAUUCAGCAGAACCUCCCCUAAUAGCAUGUCAUUUCCCAAAACCUGAAAAAAAAAAAAAAAAAAAAAAAAAGAGUAAAAUAAUAGUAAUUCACAUCCACAACACAUUUUACAAUCUAGCAAAUUUUUACAAUCAUAAAAAUAAUAGUUUUAAAACCAAAAAAAUAUGAAGUAGAGAGAAUUAGAAAAAAAUACUUGGUUGGGAGCCACCACCCUUGAUUGUGGAUG
rnacentral:lncRNA from 1 species